GAGUUUGAUCCUGGCUCAGAACGAACGCUGGCGGCGUGCCUAACACAUGCAAGUCGUGCGAGAAAGUUCCCUUCGGGGAGCGAGUAAAGCGGCGCACGGGUGAGUAACACGUAGGUAACCUACCCUGUAGUCGGGAAUAACCCGGGGAAACCCGGGCUAAUACCGGAUGAGACCACGAUUGUUCCGGCAGUCGAGGCCAAAGGCGGCCACUACACGUAAGCUGUCGCUACGGGAUGGGCCUGCGGCCCAUUAGCUAGUUGGUGGGGUAAUGGCCUACCAAGGCUGUGAUGGGUAGCUGGUCUGAGAGGAUGAUCAGCCACACUGGGACUGAGACACGGCCCAGACUCCUACGGGAGGCAGCAGUGGGGAAUAUUGCGCAAUGGGGGAAACCCUGACGCAGCGACGCCGCGUGGGUGAUGAAGGCCUUCGGGUCGUAAAGCCCUGUCGUAGGGGAAGAACCGGUGGACGGAUAAUACCCGUCUGCCCUGACGGUACCCUACAAGAAAGCACCGGCUAACUCCGUGCCAGCAGCCGCGGUAA
rnacentral:rRNA from 1 species